GAUGAACGCUGGCGGCGCGCCUAACACAUGCAAGUCGAACGGCACCCCUCCUCGGAGGGAAGCGAGUGGCGACCGGCUGAGGAACACGUGGCGAACCUGCCACCUCCCCCGGGGUAGCCGCCCGAAAGGAGGGGUAAUACCGGAUACCCCGGGAUGCAGCGUGGCGCCCGGGCUAAAGCCCCGACGGGGGGGGAUGGCCCCGCGGCCCAUCAGGUAGACGGCGGGGGGAAGGCGCUCCGUGCAGGCAACAGGAAGCCGGGGUGGGAGACCGACCUGCCAGAUUGGGACGGAGACACGGCCCGGACUCCUACGGGAGGGAGCAGUGGGGAAUCGUGCGCAAGGGGCGGAACUCUGACGCAGCGACGCCGCGUGCGGGACGGAGGUCUGCGGGUCGUAAACCGCUUUCAGCAGGGAAGAGUCAAGACUGUACCUGCAGAAGAAGCCCCGGCUAACUACGUG
rnacentral:rRNA from 1 species